GAUGAAGAACGUAGCGAAAUGCGAUAAGUAGUGUGAAUUGCAGAAUUCAGUGAAUCAUCGAAUCUUUGAACGCACAUUGCGCCACUUGGUAGCCCGAGGGGCAUGCCUGUUCGAGCGUCAUUUCACCACUCAAGCCUGGCUUGGUGUUGGGCGACGUCCCCUUUGGGGACGCGCCUCGAAACGCUCGGCGGCGUGGCACCGGCUUUAAGCGUAGCAGAAUCUUUCGCUUUGGAAGUCGGGGCCCCGUCUGCCGGAAGACCUACUCGCAAGGUUGACCUCGGAUCAGGCAGGGAUACCCGCUGAACUUAAGCAUAUCAAUAAGCGGAGGA
rnacentral:misc_RNA from 1 species